rnacentral:rRNA from 1 species
UACGUAGGGUGCGAGCGUUAAUCGGAAUUACUGGGCGUAAAGCGUGCGCAGGCGGUUUAGUAAGACAGGCGUGAAAUCCCCGGGCUCAACCUGGGAACUGCGCUUGUGACUGCUAAGCUAGAGUACGGCAGAGGGGGGUGGAAUUCCACGUGUAGCAGUGAAAUGCGUAGAGAUGUGGAGGAACACCGAUGGCGAAGGCAGCCCCUUGGGCCGAUACUGACGCUCAUGCACGAAAGCGUGGGUAGCAAACAGGAUUAGAUACCCUGGUAGUCCACGCCCUAAACGAUGUCAACUAGGUGUUGGGUGGGUAAAACCAUUUAGUACCGUAGCUAACGCGUGAAGUUGACCGCCUGGGGAGUACGGCCGCAAGGUUAAAACUCAAAGGAAUUGACGGGGACCCGCACAAGCGGUGGAUGAUGUGGAUUAAUUCGAUGCAACGCGAAAAACCUUACCUACCCUUGACAUGUCUGGAAUCCCGAAGAGAUUUGGGAGUGCCCGAAAGGGAACCGGAACACAGGUGCUGCAUGGCUGUCGUCAGCUCGUGUCGUGAGAUGUUGGGUUAAGUCCCGCAACGAGCGCAACCCUUGUCGUUAAUUGCCAUCAUUUAGUUGGGCACUUUAACGAGACUGCCGGUGACAAACCGGAGGAAGGUGGGGAUGACGUCAAGUCCUCAUGGCCCUUAUGGGUAGGGCUUCACACGUCAUACAAUGGUCGGUACAGAGGGUUGCCAAGCCGCGAGGUGGAGCCAAUCCCAGAAAGCCGAUCGUAGUCCGGAUUGCAGGCUGCAACUCGCCUGCAUGAAGUCGGAAUCGCUAGUAAUCGCGGAUCAGCAUGUCGCGGUGAAUACGUUCCCGGGUCU